AUACCUUUCUCGGCCUUUUGGCUAAGAUCAAGUGUAGUAUCUGUUCUUAUCUAUUUGUUAGAUUAGAUCUACUGCGUGGGUACUCUUAUCCACCACCUCCUCCUUUCAUUCUGUCUAGAAAACGUGGUUUACCGUUCUUUAAACAAAUUCAUGGUAUAACAUGUUUUCUAUAUAGACAUACG
rfam:Zea mays cultivar B73 chromosome 1, whole genome shotgun sequence.